GACGAAGGUGGCGAGCGUUGUUCGGAAUCACUGGGCAUAAAGCGCACGUAGGCGGCGACGUAAGUUGGGUGUGAAAUCCCUCGGCCCAACCGAGGAACUGCGCCCAGUACUGCGUUGCUUGAGGAUCCAAGGGGUGCAUGGAAUUCCCGGUGGGGCGGUGAAAUGCGUUGAUAUCGGGAGGAACACCUGUGGCGAAAGCGGCUCACUGGACCACAACUGACGCUGAGGCGCGAAAGCGUGGGUAGCAAACAGG
rnacentral:rRNA from 1 species